rnacentral:rRNA from 1 species
GGUAGGCCGCAGAGAAUAGGCACAAGCAACUGUUUAACAAAAACACAGGUCUCUGCUAAAGCGUAAGCUGAUGUAUAGGGGCUGACGCCUGCCCGGUGCUGGAAGGUUAAGGGGAACACUUAGCGCAAGCGAAGGUGUGAACUUAAGCCCCAGUAAACGGCGGCCGUAACUAUAACGGUCCUAAGGUAGCGAAAUUCCUUGUCAGGUAAGUUCUGACCCGCACGAAUGGCGUAAUGACUUGUGCACUGUCUCAACUGUGAAUCCGGCGAAGUUGUAGUGCGAGUGAAGAUGCUCGCUACCCGCGAUUGGACGGAAAGACCCCGUAGAGCUUUACUGUAGCUUAGCAUUGAAUUUCGGUAUUGUCUGUACAGGAUAGGUGGGAGACUGGGAAAUUAGGGCGUCAGCCUUAAUGGAGUCGUUGUUGGGAUACCACCCUGAUAGUAUUGAAGUUCUAACUGGAUGCCAUGAAACUGGUGACAGGACAUUGUUAGGUGGGCAGUUUGACUGGGGCGGUCGCCUCCUAAAAUGUAACGGAGGCGCCCAAAGGUUCCCUCAGAACGGUCGGAAAUCGUUCGUAGAGUGUAAAGGCAUAAGGGAGCCUGACUGCGAGACCUACAAGUCGAGCAGGGACGAAAGUCGGGCUUAGUGAUCCGGUGGUACCUCGUGGGAGGGCCAUCGCUCAACGGAUAAAAGCUACCUCGGGGAUAACAGGCUGAUCUCCCCCAAGAGUUCACAUCGACGGGGAGGUUUGGCACCUCGAUGUCGGCUCGUCGCAUCCUGGGGCUGAAGUAGGUCCCAAGGGUUGGGCUGUUCGCCCAUUAAAGCGGCACGCGAGCUGGGUUCAGAACGUCGUGAGACAGUUCGGUCCCUAUCCGUCGCGGGCGUAGGAAAUUUGAGAGGAGCUGUCCUUAGUACGAGAGGACCGGGAUGGACUGACCUAUGGUGUACCAGUUGUUUCGCCAGAAGCAUAGCUGGGUAGCUAAGUCGGGAAGGGAUAAACGCUGAAAGCAUCUAAGUGUGAAGCCCACCUCAAGAUGAGAUUUCCCAUAGCAUAAGCUAGUAAGACCCCUUGAAGACUACAAGGUUGAUAGGUCAGAGGUGUAAGUGCGGUAACGUAUUUAGCUGACUGAUACUAAUAGGUCGAGGGCUUGACCAA